rnacentral:lncRNA from 1 species
CUAGCAUAAUGUUGAUAGAGAGAUAUAUUUCUUUAGUUUUUCUCUACAUGGUGGGAACCCAAAAGUUCCUUGAGAUCUCAUAUGUACAUGCCAAAAGGAGAGGCGAGGAGAAACUCUGCUUUAGAGUUUUAUUUAAUUAAUUAAUUACUAUCACUAAACUGUUGGAGAAUUAUUAUUGAUCUUGCUUACUGAGGAUUAGAAUCUUAACGGUCCAUAAUUGAAGAGCUCCUGACUGCACAAUAUUAUUCUUUUCUUUCAUAAAAAGAUCAUUUCCAAAGUGGUGGCGAAUGAUAUCGCGGAUGACGAUCAGACACUUGACUAUGACUCCAAACACGACGUUCCGCAGAUUUUGCCUGUGGGCUGUGGACAUGAAAUAUGUUUGCGAGAAUGAUUAAUAUGCGUGAUAUUUGAAACAUACAACACUACUUAAAGCUACAAAAGCUAAUGAAAGAAUUUCUAAAUUCAAGAGGCAGACUAAAUAUCUCCUGUAUCUGCUAUAUAUGUAUGAGAUCAUGUACAUUCAUUUGAGCUCUGUGUUCAACGGAACAGUGAGAAACGAAAAAAAAGAAGGUAAAUUCGGCACAGCUAAUAUUCACUUGUGACCAGCUCCUCUUCUGCUGGGACCAGACGCUAGCGUAUAUACCUGACCAUCUCCAGCAAGAAGGUCUUUCGUAGGAUUCGGAACUUUGGUAUUCGCGGUGAUCUCGCUCGUGUUUUUGGAGACCGCAGCCUCCUUUGUUGCUGAAGUAGUUGAAUCAAGAAGCAUUCUAGAAUGCACAACACUCGGUUGGCAGAUCAUGAUCAUCAUCGAAAUCGCGAUCAUCAUCACACAGCAAUAUGAUAUCUUUGAUAUUGCCAUCGAGUUUCCUCUUGUUUCUCUUGUAAAGUUCUUGUGUAUCUUGGUGUAAUAAGUAUCUUUGUAGUGUUGAGCAAAUGGAAUUCUUGUGUAUUUUGGUGUGAUAAGUAUCUUUGGAGAGUUGAGCAAAAAGAAUGGUGCAGCAUCUCCCUAGCAUAUGGAAAGCGCUUUAUAUAAGAAAAUGGUUCGGUUGGGCGAGGAGUGAGGACGGUGACGAGCUUUUUGGGUCUGGGCCCUAAGUGUUAUAUGGUUAGUUUGACUAAGAUUUUUGGUUGGUAGAGGGAGGGUGGUCACUUUGAAACGCUGCUUUUCAUUCACAUUUAUGCCGAUUCUUGUCCCUUAAAUCCCCUUCGAUAUUGACAUUUUCCAAUCAUG